CAAAUCCCCACAUCUUCAAGCUAGAGAAACACCGUUCUAAAGUCUUACUGGUAGUCCUUGAUGUACGAUUGUAACUGAGCCUGGAAUUUAUGAUAGCAAGUCAUGCUUUUUAAGUGGAUCACCACAUGACCAUGCCCCAUUUUGCAGUGGUCAUUAAGCAAACACAGUGGUCAUUAAGUGAAUCCGUUUUCCAAUGGGCAUUUUUUUUUUGCCAGAACUCAGAGACAGACACCAGAAAAGGGCAAAAAACAUAAACAAUUAUGGUCUCAUGAUCGCAGGAUGCUGCAAACAGCCAUAAAAGUGAGUCGGUUGCCAAACACCCAAAAUGUGACCAUGCGAUUGCAGGAAUGUGUGUGCAUGUGGCCAUCAGAACUUUGAAAAUGGGAUCAGGAACCAAUGAAGCUGUUGUAACUAGAGAGUCACAUCCUCUAUCUAAGUGGCCUGGUUUCAAGUCAGCUGAAGUUUCUGAACAAUGUCAAAGGUCGGUGUUGAAUUCACAUGCGUCUCCCUGUGUGCAAAACAAAAAAGCCUCAAACUUACCAACGUAACGCCCUCCAGGCUUGAUGACAAUGGCACCCCGGCUCCGUGUCUCCUCUUCCACCAGGGCCAUGCUCUGC